GAUGAACGCUGGCGGCGUGCCUAAUACAUGCAAGUCGAGCGAACGGACGAGAAGCUUGCUUCUCUGAUGUUAGCGGCGGACGGGUGAGUAACACGUGGAUAACCUACCUAUAAGACUGGGAUAACUUCGGGAAACCGGAGCUAAUACCGGAUAAUAUUUUGAACCGCAUGGUUCAAAAGUGAAAGACGGUCUUGCUGUCACUUAUAGAUGGAUCCGCGCUGCAUUAGCUAGUUGGUAAGGUAACGGCUUACCAAGGCAACGAUGCAUAGCCGACCUGAGAGGGUGAUCGGCCACACUGGAACUGAGACACGGUCCAGACUCCUACGGGAGGCAGCAGUAGGGAAUCUUCCGCAAUGGGCGAAAGCCUGACGGAGCAACGCCGCGUGAGUGAUGAAGGUCUUCGGAUCGUAAAACUCUGUUAUUAGGGAAGAACAUAUGUGUAAGUAACUGUGCACAUCUUGACGGUACCUAAUCAGAAAGCCACGGCUAACUACGUGCCAGCAGCCGCGGUAAUACGUAGGUGGCAAGCGUUAUCCGGAAUUAUUGGGCGUAAAGCGCGCGUAGGCGGUUUUUUAAGUCUGAUGUGAAAGCCCACGGCUCAACCGUGGAGGGUCAUUGGAAACUGGAAAACUUGAGUGCAGAAGAGGAAAGUGGAAUUCCAUGUGUAGCGGUGAAAUGCGCAGAGAUAUGGAGGAACACCAGUGGCGAAGGCGACUUUCUGGUCUGUAACUGACGCUGAUGUGCGAAAGCGUGGGGAUCAAACAGGAUUAGAUACCCUGGUAGUCCACGCCGUAAACGAUGAGUGCUAAGUGUUAGGGGGUUUCCGCCCCUUAGUGCUGCAGCUAACGCAUUAAGCACUCCGCCUGGGGAGUACGACCGCAAGGUUGAAACUCAAAGGAAUUGACGGGGACCCGCACAAGCGGUGGAGCAUGUGGUUUAAUUCGAAGCAACGCGAAGAACCUUACCAAAUCUUGACAUCCUUUGACAACUCUAGAGAUAGAGCCUUCUCCUUCGGGGGACAAAGUGACAGGUGGUGCAUGGUUGUCGUCAGCUCGUGUCGUGAGAUGUUGGGUUAAGUCCCGCAACGAGCGCAACCCUUAAGCUUAGUUGCCAUCAUUAAGUUGGGCACUCUAAGUUGACUGCCGGUGACAAACCGGAGGAGGGUGGGGAUGACGUCAAAUCAUCAUGCCCCUUAUGAUUUGGGCUACACACGUGCUACAAUGGACAAUACAAAGGGCAGCGAAACCGCGAGGUCAAGCAAAUCCCAUAAAGUUGUUCUCAGUUCGGAUUGUAGUCUGCAACUCGACUACAUGAAGCUGGAAUCGCUAGUAAUCGUAGAUCAGCAUGCUACGGUGAAUACGUUCCCGGGUCU
rnacentral:rRNA from 1 species